GACGAACGCUGGCGGCGUGCCUAAUACAUGCAAGUAGGACGCACAGCCUAUACCGUAGCUUGCUACACCAUAGGCUGUGAGUCGCGAACGGGUGAGUAACGCGUAGGUAACCUGCCUAUUAGAGGGGGAUAACUAUUGGAAACGAUAGCUAAUACCGCAUAACAGUAUGUAACACAUGUUAGAUGCUUGAAAGAUGCAAUUGCAUCGCUAGUAGAUGGACCUGCGUUGUAUUAGCUAGUAGGUAGGGUAAUGGCCUACCUAGGCAACGAUACAUAGCCGACCUGAGAGGGUGAUCGGCCACACUGGGACUGAGACACGGCCCAGACUCCUACGGGAGGCAGCAGUAGGGAAUCUUCGGCAAUGGGGGGAACCCUGACCGAGCAACGCCGCGUGAGUGAAGAAGGUUUUCGGAUCGUAAAGCUCUGUUGUUAAGGAAGAACGAGUGUGAGAAUGGAAAGUUCAUACUGUGACGGUACUUAACCAGAAAGGGACGGCUAACUACGUGCCAGCAGCCGCGGUAAUACGUAGGUCCCGAGCGUUGUCCGGAUUUAUUGGGCGUAAAGCGAGCGCAGGCGGUUAGAAAAGUCUGAAGUGAAAGGCAGUGGCUCAACCAUUGUAGGCUUUGGAAACUGUUUAACUUGAGUGCAGAAGGGGAGAGUGGAAUUCCAUGUGUAGCGGUGAAAUGCGUAGAUAUAUGGAGGGAACACCGGUGGCGAAAGCGGCUCUCUGGUCUGUCACUGACGCUGAGGCUCGAAAGCGUGGGGGAGCGAACAGG
rnacentral:rRNA from 1 species